rnacentral:misc_RNA from 1 species
GGGCUUGGUUCAUGGUUGUUGAAGGCUUAACAGUCUUCUCAACUGAAAUACACGAGCUACCUAUUUUAUAAUAGACGGUUUGACUCGGCGUAAUAACUAUUUCGCUGAGGACGUCCUUUUAUAAUAGUAAUGGUGCUUCUAAUUUAACAUCAAUUUAAGAUUUAGACCUCAAAUCAGUCAGGACUACCCGCUGAACUUAA